GAUGAACGCUGGCGGCGUGCCUAAUACAUGCAAGUCGAGCGAACGGACGAGAAGCUUGCUUCUCUGAUGUUAGCGGCGGACGGGUGAGUAACACGUGGAUAACCUACCUAUAAGACUGGGAUAACUUCGGGAAACCGGAGCUAAUACCGGAUGAUAUUUUGAACCGCAUGGUUCAAAAGUGAAAGACGGUCUUGCUGUCACUUAUAGAUGGAUCCGCUCUGCAUUAGCUAGUUGGUAAGGUAACGGCUUACCAAGGCAACGAUGCAUAGCCGACCUGAGAGGGUGAUCGGCCACACUGGAACUGAGACACGGUCCAGACUCCUACGGGAGGCGGCAGUAGGGAAUCUUCCGCAAGGGGCGAAAGCCUGACGGAGCAACGCCGCGUGAGUGAUGAAGGUCUUCGGAUCGUAAACCUCUGUUAUUAGGGAAGAACAUAUGUGUAAGUAACUGUGCACAUCUUGACGGUACCUAAUCAGAAAGCCACGGCUAACUACGUG
rnacentral:rRNA from 1 species